rnacentral:rRNA from 1 species
GAGUUUGAUCCUGGCUCAGGAUGAACGCCAGCUACAGGSUUAACACAUGCAAGUCGAGGGGCAUCAGUUUGGUUUGCUUGCAAACCAAAGCUGGCGACCGGCGCACGGGUGAGUAACACGUAUCCAACCUGCCUCAUACUCGGGGAUAGCCUUUCGAAUGAAAGAUUAAUAUCCGAUAGCAUAUAUUUCCCGCAUGGGUUUUAUAUUAAAGAAAUUCGGUAUGAGAUGGGGAUGCGUUCCAUUAGUUUGUUGGGGGGGUAACGGCCCACCAAGACUACGAUGGAUAGGGGUUCUGAGAGGAAGGUCCCCCACAUUGGAACUGAGACACGGUCCAAACUCCUACGGGAGGCAGCAGUGAGGAAUAUUGGUCAAUGGACGCGAGUCUGAACCAGCCAAGUAGCGUGAAGGAUGACUGCCCUAUGGGUUGUAAACUUCUUUUAUAUGGGAAUAAAGUUGUCCACGUGUGGAUUUUUGUAUGUACCAUAUGAAUAAGGAUCGGCUAACUCCGUGCCAGCAGCCGCGGUAAUACGGAGGAUCCGAGCGUUAUCCGGAUUUAUUGGGUUUAAAGGGAGCGUAGGCGGAUUGUUAAGUCAGUUGUGAAAGUUUGCGGCUCAACCGUAAAAUUGCAGUUGAUACUGGCAGUCUUGAGUGCAGUAGAGGUGGGCGGAAUUCGUGGUGUAGCGGUGAAAUGCUUAGAUAUCACGAAGAACUCCGAUUGCGAAGGCAGCUCACUGGAGUGUAACUGACGCUGAUGCUCGAAAGUGUGGGUAUCAAACAGGAUUAGAUACCCUGGUAGUCCACACAGUAAACGAUGAAUACUCGCUGUUUGCGAUAUACAGUAAGCGGCC